rnacentral:tRNA from 1 species
GUCUCAGUAGCAUAAUGGUUAGUGCGCAGCCCCGGAUAGGUUAGACGCUGGUUCGAAUCCCGCCUGAGAUG